UACGGAGGGUGCAAGCGUUAUCCGGAUUCACUGGGUUUAAAGGGUGCGUAGGCGGGCUGUUAAGUCAGUGGUGAAAUCUCAGAGCUUAACUCUGAAACUGCCAUUGAUACUAUCAGUCUUGAAUGUUCUGGAGGUGAGCGGAAUAUGUCAUGUAGCGGUGAAAAUGCUUAGAUAUGACAUAGAACACCAAUUGCGUAGGCAGCUCACUACGGAAAUAUUGACGCUGAGGCACGAAAAGCGUGAGGAUCAAACAGG
rnacentral:rRNA from 1 species